CCAAGCAAGCCAAAAUUUUCAAGAUGGAAAAUGCAAUUUCAGAUGAUUCAUUGGAAGAAAAUAUUCAGCAGCAACGGCGAGGGAUUCAUAGAAGCAAAAGGGCAAAAUUUGUUGAGAGUGAAGAUGCAGUUUCAGAUGAUUUGCUGGCAGAUGAUACUCGUCUAGAGCACAUGAGGAUGCCUAGAAGAAGGAAAGCCAAAUUUGUAGAGAGGGAAGAUGUUUCAGGUGAUCUGCUGGAGGACAAUGGUCAAUGGCAACUAAGGAAGACUCCUAGGG
rnacentral:misc_RNA from 1 species